GACGAACGCUGGCGGCGUGCUUAACACAUGCAAGUCGAACGGAAAGGCCCUGCUUUUGUGGGGUGCUCGAGUGGCGAACGGGUGAGUAACACGUGAGUAACCUGCCCUUGACUUUGGGAUAACUUCAGGAAACUGGGGCUAAUACCGGAUAGGAGCUCCUGCUGCAUGGUGGGGGUUGGAAAGUUUCGGCGGUUGGGGAUGGACUCGCGGCUUAUCAGCUUGUUGGUGGGGUAGUGGCUUACCAAGGCUUUGACGGGUAGCCGGCCUGAGAGGGUGACCGGCCACAUUGGGACUGAGAUACGGCCCAGGCUCCUACGGGAGGCAGCGGUGGGGAAUAUUGCACAAUGGGCGGAAGCCUGAUGCAGCAACGCCGCGUGCGGGAUGACGGCCUUCGGGUUGUAAACCGCUUUCGCCUGUGACGAAGCGUGAGUGACGGUAAUGGGUAAAGAAGCACCGGCUAACUACGUG
rnacentral:rRNA from 1 species